UGACAAUGAUGAAAAUGUUUUAUAAACCUGAAUCUGAUGAGGGAUUUUAGAGCUUUUUAACCCUGAGCCAU